rnacentral:rRNA from 1 species
CGCGUAGGCGGCGAGACAAGUUGGAUGUGAAAGCCCUGGGCUCAACCCAGGAUGUGCAUUCAAAACUGUCUCGCUUGAAUCUCGGAGGGGGUCAGGGAAUUCCCGGUGUAGAGGUGAAAUUCGUAGAUAUCGGGAGGAACACCAGUGGCGAAGGCGCUGACCUGGACGAUGAUUGACGCUGAGGCGCGAAAGCGUGGGGAGCAAACA